rfam:Cavia porcellus supercont2_13 genomic scaffold, whole genome shotgun sequence.
GGGGAUUUAGCUCAGCGGCAUAAGCGCCUGCCUUGCAAGCAGGAAGUCGUGAGUUCGAUCUCCG